UACGGAGGGUGCAAGCGUUAUCCGGAUUUACUGGGUUUAAAGGGUGUGUAGGCGGGCUUUUAAGUCAGUGGUGAAAUCUCCGGGCUCAACCCGGAAACUGCCAUUGAUACUAUUAGUCUUGAAUUUUGUUGAGGUAGGCGGAAUAAGUCAUGUAGCGGUGAAAUGCUUAGAUAUGACAUAGAACACCAAUUGCGAAGGCAGCUUACUACACAACGAUUGACGCUGAGGCACGAAAGCGUGGGGAUCAAACAGG
rnacentral:rRNA from 1 species